rnacentral:ribozyme from 12 species
CACAACAAGAGAGAGAGCAAAAAUAAAAAAAAAAAGGGAGAUUGUGCGAGAAGAUUGUCCCGUUUUCUCUUUCCCUUUUUUAUGUUUAUUUUUUCGUUGUUGUUUUUCCUUUUUUUUUGUUUGUUUUUGUUUUUUUUUUCAAA